rnacentral:lncRNA from 1 species
UUUCUCAAAUAUGGAACUCUUUUUUCUCAAAUAACUGUUUUAAGAAGCUGUUACCAAGUCUUAAAACAAAAACAGAAAUUAAAUUGAUACACUCGAAAACCACACAAGAGGGCUUCUUUUAAACAUUACAUCAGACUCAGUCUUUGUUUUAUUGGAACUUACCAAAAGCACUCAAAAGCAUGAGCACCAUCGGCUAGGAGUCUUUAGAUUCCCCUUUUAGCACAAUCUCUAGGAAUUACGAUUUGAUACACCUCUUACUUGGCCUCGACCACCAUAUCCAUAGUCGCCGCCGCCGCCACCACCACGAGGUCCACUAUAACCGCCACAUGAAUGAACGUUACCGCAGAAAGCUUCUCUCAUUUGCCAAAACUCUAGCAUUUUCAUCACCCGUAUUCAUCUCAAUAAAGUUCGUCCAUGCAAAAUUCUUACGUCCAUUUAAUUAUGCUUACAUGGACAUGCUUCUUUUAAUGGAUUCUUAUAAACAAAUUUCCAAUUUCAACAAAGCUAUUUACAAUGGGCGUGAAAUCUUGCAACCUGCGAGAGUGAAAGAGGAGAUCAGAGCAAUAAUUAAGGAAAUACAAUCUCACAACAUCCAUUUAGAAGAAUUUCUCUCCAGAUUCAUACAAUAAACAUACAUAUAGCUCAAUUUCUCUCCAGAUUCAUCAAUUCCACUGCAGAUUUUAGAGAUUUAAAGUGAACUGAUCCAAAUAUUUCCAGAUUCAAAGGAAGAAAAAGAGAGAUUGAAGAAUCUAGAUGACAACCCCAGAAAUCCAGAUUUGAGGAAUCCAGAUGACAAUGUCGGAACCAGAAAAAGAGCGCUCGAGGAAUUCUUUGGAAACCAAGAAUCCUAGGGAAAUAAAACAACAUUCUCGCUCAAUGACAAAAGAGAGAUUACUGUUUUUGAACCCUUAAACUAAUGCCAAAAUGAUCUCCUCUUCUUCUCUUUAGCUGCUUAUAGAGACCGGGCGCUUGGUAAUGAGUUUCACUGCAUUGGUAAUGAGUUUCAAAUAUUAUUUUUAACAUUACAAGUAGAGAGAUCUAGGAUAUAAAUGAUUUACUAUCCAUCGGGAUUGUACUAUAUGGUUACGAAACAGCAUCAAAUGAUUUAGCGUCCACGCAAACAUGAACAUGUGGAUAUCCCAUCCUCUUAUAAACACUUUUGCAGUUUUUCGGUGUAUCAUUUCAAUAGUUUAAAAUGAUUUAAUGUCCAUAGGGAUUGUACUAUGUGGUUAUGAAUCAGUUCCAAAUGAUUUUGUAUCUUUGUAAUUUAGCUUUUCGUGUGACUCAGCUAAUCAAUCCUUCUUUCGUGCGUUGUAUCAAAACUUCAAGCAGCUUAGGAUCCAAAAACUUCAAGCAGCUUAGGAUAGACACUUGGUUUACAGUGUUGCAACAAAGCUCUGCCUAGGUUCUACUCUACCUGUCACCUAGAUUACAUAGCAAAACAUAACCAGCCAUAUCAAAGGUUAAUACUUUCAACUAAAAAACUACAGUUCGAAGAUAAUCCAGUAGAUACCAUAAGAGAGAUUCAGGUGAGAUGAUUUGCAACUGAUUUAUGUAUAUACCAUAAGAGAGAUGCAGAGUCAACACAAACAAGCUACACAAAGUAGUAACAAUAAAGAGUUAUAAGCGUUUAAGUAUAGCAAACAAACAAAACAGGAGAUAGCAAUACUGUAGGACAACUAGUUAGCAACUAAAAGGAGUAAAAACUUUUAAAGAUCAAGACCUUGAUAUCCUCACAAAGUCACAAACAUUCACAAAUUCGAAAUCCAAAUUUUGAGGUUUCAAGGGAAGAGAUAACUCGCGUAAUUGUAGACUUAGAAAUCAUCAAUGAAAAACGUGACACUUCCCAAAUCAAAGGUCAAAGCUUCAUCUAACCGAUGAACAAUCGCCUCAAAUUCCAAAAUCCAUCUCAAAUACAUAAAAAUAAGGUGAAGAUCAACAGGGUAUCGUCUUCCUUUUUUUUGUUUUAUUAUAGCCACAGUUUUACUUGCGUUGAAUAAUUCCGUUUAUCUAAAAGACAAGAAAUCAAACGACAACAUCAAUUACAUAUCCACUGCAUAUGCCAUGGAAUCAUCGAUUACAUAUCCUUCGGUUUGUUGCAUUUUUCCCAAUCGAACUUCAAGCAAAAACAAAAUCGAAACAAUCAAAUGUUGUAUGGGAAAGGAAUAAGAUCUGGAAAAACAAUGAAGCAAGAGAAUUACUUUUUAGGGUUGAGAAACAUAAUAGCUGGUUGACUUUUUAGCUGUGGCACAGAAGAAAUUGAAGAGACAACCCAUGGCUUCGAUGAAAUCGGAAGAGAGAAAAAGGAACAGCAAUGGAAGAAGCUACUGAGAUUUUCCGAGAAAGAUAGGAAAAGUCGAGAGUGAAAGAAUUGGUGGGUAUGAGUCAAUUGUUUUCAAAUUUGAAAUUAUCUGAUGGAAAUCACGGUAAUGAGAUAAGUCCAGAAAUGG